AGCAGUCGCCACGGUAAUACGGAGGAUCCAAGCGUUAUCCGGAAUCAUUGGGUUUAAAGGGUCCGUAGGCGGUCUUGUAAGUCAGUGGUGAAAGCCCAUCGCUCAACGGUGGAACGGCCAUUGAUACUGCAGGACUUGAAUUAUUGGGAAGUAACUAGAAUAUGUAGUGUAGCGGUGAAAUGCUUAGAGAUUACAUGGAAUACCAAUUGCGAAGGCAGGUUACUACCAAUUGAUUGACGCUGAUGGACGAAAGCGUGGGUAGCGAACAGGAUUAGAUACCCGCGUAGUCCCUGUCUCUUAUAC
rnacentral:rRNA from 1 species